rnacentral:rRNA from 1 species
UACGGAGGAUCCAAGCGUUAUCCGGAUUCAUUGGGUUUAAAGGGUGCGUAGGCGGAAUGAUAAGUCAGUGGUGAAAUCCUGCAGCUUAACUGCAGAACUGCCAUUGAUACUGUCAAUCUUGAGUACAUUUGAUGUGGGCGGAAUGUGUCAUGUAGCGGUGAAAUGCUUAGAUAUGACACAGAACACCGAUUGCGAAGGCAGCUCACAAAACUGUAACUGACGCUGAGGCACGAAGGCGUGGGUAUCAAACAGG